UUUAGAGAAGAAAAAUGAAUAUUAUUAUAAUGACAAUUUAGACUAUUACAAAAACCUAAUUAUUGAAUCAUCAGCCGCCAUCAAAUUUGCCCAGUUUGAAAUCAACACAUUGCCAUAAAAAUAAUUUAAAAUCAGUUGUUUAUAAUAACAAUUAAUAAUUAUACGAAGAAGAAAAAAAAGUAACCUUGAUAGAUCAGAAGCAAGUCAGCAACAUCAGUCAGUAGAGACGGAAGAGACAACAAUCGGGCUAGAAGCUGCAACAUCGGAAUGAAACUGACAGGGGACAACCUUAGGUGUCGGCGACAUGCGGGUGUGUGGAAGUGAGGCUGUGAGAGAGAGAGAGAGAGAGAGAGAGAGAGUGUCUG
rnacentral:lncRNA from 1 species